UAGAGCUAAUACAUGCUGUCAAACCCGACUUUAUGGAAGGGUUGUAUUUAUUAGAUAUUAAGCCAAUAUUCCUUCUGGUCUAUUGUGGUGAAUCAUAGUAACUGAUCGAAUCCCUUUUUGGGAUAAAUCAUUCAAGUUUCUGCCCUAUCAGCUUUCGAUGGUAGUGUAUUGGACUACCAUGGCAGUCACGGGUAACGGAGAAUUAGGGUUCGGUUCCGGAGAGGGAGCCUGAGAAACGGCUACCACAUCUAAGGAAGGCAGCAGGCGCGUAAAUUACCCAAUCCUGAUUCAGGGAGGUAGUGACAAGAAAUAGCAAACUGGAUGAUUUUUCAUCACAGUAUUGCAAUGAGAACAACGUAAAUGCUUUAUCGAUUAACAAUUGGAGGGCAAGUCUGGUGCCAGCAGCCGCGGUAAUUCCAGCUCCAAUAGCGUAUAUUAAAGUUGUUGCAGUUAAAAAGCUCGUAGUUGAACUUCUGUACGUUCCCAGUUCUGGCUUUGGUCAAGCUGUGGAGCGUGCAUCCGCUUGCAAACUUAGACCGGCCUUCACUGGUCGACUAAGGGAGUAAGCCCUUUACUUUGAAAAAAUUAGAGUGUUUCUAGCAGGCUUUGGCUCGAAUACAUUAGCAUGGAAUAAUGGAAUAGGACUUUUGUCCAUUUGGUUGGUUAUUGGACAUUAGUAAUGAUUAAAAGGGACAGUUGGGGGCAUUAGUACUUAAUAGUCANGAGGUGAAAUUCUUGGAUUUAUUAAAGACUAACUUAUGCGAAAGC
rnacentral:rRNA from 1 species